AUUGAACGCUAGCGGGAUGCUUUACACAUGCAAGUCGAACGGAGUGGCGGACGGGUUAGUAAUAUAUCGGAACGUUCCCAGUAGCGGGGGAUAACUACUCGUAAGAGUGGCCAAUUCCGCCUUCUAUUGGAGCGGCCGGUAUCGGAUUUGCUAGUGGGUGGGGUAAAGGCUCACCAAGGCAACGAUCCGUAGCUGGUUUGAGAGGACGACCAGCCACACUGGGACUGAGACACGGCCCAGACUCCUACGGGAGGCAGCAGUGGGGAAUUUUGGACAAUGGGAGAAACCCUGAUCCAGCAAUCCCGCGUGUGUGAUGAAGGCCUUCGGGUUGUAAAGUACUUUUGGCAGAGAAGCGGUAUCUGCAGAAUAAGCACCGGCUAACUACGUGCCAGCAGCCGCGGUAAUAC
rnacentral:rRNA from 1 species